GGCGGGGCCGGAGAGGGGACCCGCUGCCGGGGAGUCCCGAAGGGCCGCCGCACGGGGCCAGCUCACCACGGAGCAGAGUGGACACGUCAGGCACACACGUCGGGCUGCACGGCCGCCUGACUCCCUGAAUCACCUGCCGGGUCUGGGACCUCAGACAGGGACGGCGCACGUGACCAUUCACACGACAGAUAUCCUCCAACGGCUUCCUGAGGGCCAGGUGCCGAUGUAGCUUCUGGAAAAUCCUCAUGUCUUGGAGUGAGGCAGACACACAAUAAACACCAUGGCCACGGAAUGGGCUGUGCAGCAUGUGACCUUUGACCUUCUGGCGUUUGAGUCUGCCAGCGUCCGACAAAUAGACCCGUCCCCACAUGGUUAUG